CGAAGAUUUGUGUCUGCAGACUGGCGGUUGUAUUUGAAGACCUCACAGAGAACUAAUUUGUUGGGAUCCUUGCGAAAAGGGUCCCGGAACAUGGCAGCAGGUCGCAGGUACAUGUCGCUGUUGGAGCCUUCGGCUUGGAAGGUGCUGGAGCCAUCAAAGUUCCACUCGGGGAGAUCUUCCAGGCUCUUGGGUUCGUGGUCCAGCGUGCGGGUUUUGCAGCGGAGGUGCUCCCCAGUCCCGUCGAUCCAGAUGUACAUGGCUUGGACCUUCUCCCCCUGCGGCAGCUUCAUGUACAUGUGCUUGAUGGCUUUGCUCAGGUGGGAGCUCGCCGAGGUGGCCAUGGCUGCGGAGCUGGCGAGGGCUGUCCUGGGCUGGGCUGCGGGCAGGGGCUCGGCGCGGGGCUCCCACGCUCGGCUCCCGGGGGCCGCGCCCGCCGCCGCUUUAUGGAGCCGGAGCGCCGGCCCCGCCGCACUGAUUGGGCAGCGGGAAGCGGGCCGGGGGCAGGCCGGGGCCGGGGAUGGGG
rnacentral:lncRNA from 1 species